rnacentral:misc_RNA from 1 species
CCCCGUAAUGUUGAUGAACAUUUUGUGUUUUGCCCUCUGGCUAACCGCUAAAUCAACAUUACGAUGUUGUGUUUGCAUAUUGUCCGGAUCCUGCCGGAUAGGUAGUUAUCUACCGCUUUACUUCCUGUAUUUU